GAACGCUAGCUACAGGCUUAACACAUGCAAGUCGAGGGGCAGCAUGGUCUUAGCUUGCUAAGGCCGAUGGCGACCGGCGCACGGGUGAGUAACACGUAUCCAACCUGCCGUCUACUCUUGGACAGCCUUCUGAAAGGAAGAUUAAUACAAGAUGGCAUCAUGAGUCCGCAUGUUCACAUGAUUAAAGGUAUUCCGGUAGACGAUGGGGAUGCGUUCCAUUAGAUAGUAGGCGGGGUAACGGCCCACCUAGUCUUCGAUGGAUAGGGGUUCUGAGAGGAAGGUCCCCCACAUUGGAACUGAGACACGGUCCAAACUCCUACGGGAGGCAGCAGUGAGGAAUAUUGGUCAAUGGGCGAGAGCCUGAACCAGCCAAGUAGCGUGAAGGAUGACUGCCCUAUGGGUUGUAAACUUCUUUUAUAAAGGAAUAAAGUCGGGUAUGGAUACCCGUUUGCAUGUACUUUAUGAAUAAGGAUCGGCUAACUCCGUGCCAGCAGCCGCGGUAAUACGGAGGAUCCGAGCGUUAUCCGGAUUUAUUGGGUUUAAAGGGAGCGUAGAUGGAUGUUUAAGUCAGUUGUGAAAGUUUGCGGCUCAACCGUAAAAUUGCAGUUGAUACUGGAUAUCUUGAGUGCAGUUGAGGCAGGCGGAAUUCGUGGUGUAGCGGUGAAAUGCUUAGAUAUCACGAAGAACUCCGAUUGCGAAGGCAGCCUGCUAAGCUGCAACUGACAUUGAGGCUCGAAAGUGUGGGUAUCAAACAGGAUUAGAUACCCUGGUAGUCCACACGGUAAACGAUGAAUACUCGCUGUUUGCGAUAUACUGCAAGCGGCCAAGCGAAAGCGUUAAGUAUUCCACCUGGGGAGUACGCCGGCAACGGUGAAACUCAAAGGAAUUGACGGGGGCCCGCACAAGCGGAGGAACAUGUGGUUUAAUUCGAUGAUACGCGAGGAACCUUACCCGGGCUUAAAUUGCAGAUGAAUUACGGUGAAAGCCGUAAGCCGCAAGGCAUCUGUGAAGGUGCUGCAUGGUUGUCGUCAGCUCGUGCCGUGAGGUGUCGGCUUAAGUGCCAUAACGAGCGCAACCCUUGUUGUCAGUUACUAACAGGUUCCGCUGAGGACUCUGACAAGACUGCCAUCGUAAGAUGUGAGGAAGGUGGGGAUGACGUCAAAUCAGCACGGCCCUUACGUCCGGGGCUACACACGUGUUACAAUGGGGGGUACAGAGGGCCGCUACCACGCGAGUGGAUGCCAAUCCCCAAAACCUCUCUCAGUUCGGACUGGAGUCUGCAACCCGACUCCACGAAGCUGGAUUCGCUAGUAAUCGCGCAUCAGCCACGGCGCGGUGAAUACGUUCCCGGGCCUUGUACACACCGCCCGUCAAGCCAUGGGAGCCGGGGGUACCUGAAGUGCGUAACCGCGAGGAGCGCCCUAGGGUAAAACUGGUGACUGGGGCUAAG
rnacentral:rRNA from 1 species